rnacentral:rRNA from 1 species
UACGGGGGGGGCAAGCGUUGUUCGGAAUUACUGGGCGUAAAGGGCUCGUAGGCGGCCAACUAAGUCGGAUGUGAAAUCCCCAGGCUUAACCUGGGAACUGCAUCCGAUACUGGAUGGCUUGAAUUCGGGAGAGGGAUGCAGAAUUCCAGGUGUAGCGGUGAAAUGCGUAGAUAUAGGAAGGAACACCAGUGGCGAAGGCGACCACCUGGACUGAUACUGACACUGAGGUGCGAAAGCGUGGGGAGCAAACAGG